rnacentral:rRNA from 1 species
AGAGUUUGAUCCUGGCUCAGGAUGAACGCUGGCGGUAUGCCUAACACAUGCAAGUCGAACGAAGAUUUUAUCUUAGUGGCGGACGGGUGAUUAACACGUGAAAAUCUACUCUUGGAAGAGGAAUAACAAUUGGAAACAAUUGCUAAUGCCCCAUAAACUGAAAAGUAAAAAUAUUGUUCACCUGAGGAUGAGCUCGCGCCUGAUUAGCCAGUUGGUGAGAUAAAAGCUCACCAAGGCAACGAUCAAUAGCUAGUUUAAGAGGACGAUCAGCCACACCGAGACUGAGACACGGCCCAGACUUCUACGGAAAGCAGCAGUGGGGAAUUUUCCGUAAUGGGCGCAAGCCUGACGGAACAAUACCGCGUAAGCGAAAAAUGCCUGUGGAUUGUAAACCUCUUUUCUUGGGGAAGAAGUUAUGACAGUACCCAAAGAAUAAGCAUCGGCUAACUCCGUGCCAGCAGCCGCGGUAAUACGGAGGAUACAAGCGUUAUCCGGAAUCACUGGACGUAAAGCAUCUGUAGGUGGCUUAAAAAACCCACUGUUAAAUCUUAGGGCUUAACCCUAAACCAGCAGUGGAAACUCUUAGAUUAGAGUAUGGUAAGGGUAGAGGGAAUUCCCAGUGUAGCGGUGAAAUGCGUAGAUAUUGGGAAGAACACUAAAGGCGAAAGCUAGGGAAACAAAUGGGAUUAGAUCCCCCCAGUUGUCCUAACUGUAAACGAUGAAUACUAGAUGUUACGCGUAUCGAUCCGUGCAAGUAUCGUAGCUAACGCGUUAAGUAUCCCACUAAGGGAGUAUGCUCCCAAAAGUGAAACUCAAAGGAAUUGACGGGGGCCUGCACAAGCGGUGGAUCAUAUGGUUUAAUUCGAUACAACGCGAAGAACCUUACCAGGGCUUGACAUGUCAUGAAUUUUUUUGAAAGAAAAAAGUACCUUCAAAAACAUGAACACAGGUGGUGCAUGGCUGUCGUCAGCUCGUAUCGUGAGAUAUUGGGUUAAGUCCUGCAACGAGCGCAACCUUUGUUUUUAGUUGCCAUCUCAUUAAGUUGGGCACUCUAGAGAAACUGCCGGUAACAAACCGGAAAAAGGUAAAGAUAACUUCAAGUCAGCAUGCCCCUUAUGCCCUAGGCUACACACGUACUACAAUAGUCGUGGCAAAGGGUUGCAAGUCUAUGCAGGCAAACUAAUCUCAUAAACACAGCCUCAGUUCAGAUUGUAGGCUGCAACUCGCCUACAUGAAGAUGGAAUCGCUAGUAAUCGCCGGUCAGCUACACGGCGGUGAAUCCGUUCCCGGGCCUUGUACACACCGCCCGUCACACCAUGGAAGCUGGCCACGCCCGAAGUCGUUACCCUAACCUUAUGGAGGGGGGCGCCUAAGGCAGGGCUAGUGACUGG